rnacentral:rRNA from 1 species
GAACUGAAGAGUUUGAUCCUGGCUCAGAUUGAACGCUGGCGGCAUGCCUUACACAUGCAAGUCGAACGGCAGCACGGGUGCUUGCACCUGGUGGCGAGUGGCGAACGGGUGAGUAAUACAUCGGAACAUGUCCUGUAGUGGGGGAUAGCCCGGCGAAAGCCGGAUUAAUACCGCAUACGAUCCACGGAUGAAAGCGGGGGACCUUCGGGCCUCGCGCUAUAGGGUUGGCCGAUGGCUGAUUAGCUAGUUGGUGGGGUAAAGGCCUACCAAGGCGACGAUCAGUAGCUGGUCUGAGAGGACGACCAGCCACACUGGGACUGAGACACGGCCCAGACUCCUACGGGAGGCAGCAGUGGGGAAUUUUGGACAAUGGGCGAAAGCCUGAUCCAGCAAUGCCGCGUGUGUGAAGAAGGCCUUCGGGUUGUAAAGCACUUUUGUCCGGAAAGAAAUCCUUGGCUCUAAUACAGUCGGGGGAUGACGGUACCGGAAGAAUAAGCACCGGCUAACUACGUGCCAGCAGCCGCGGUAAUACGUAGGGUGCGAGCGUUAAUCGGAAUUACUGGGCGUAAAGCGUGCGCAGGCG